UGACCUCGGAUCAGGUAGGGAUACCCGCUGAACUUAAGCUAUA
rnacentral:rRNA from 1 species